GGUUAAGUGACUAAGCGUACACGGUGGAUGCCUUGGCAGUCAGAGGCGAUGAAAGACGUAGUAACUUGCGAUAAGCCCAGAUUAGGUAGUAACAACCAUUUGAGUCUGGGAUUUCUGAAUGGGGAAACCCACUUACAUAAGUAAGUAUCCUUACCUGAAUACAUAGGGUAAGGAGGCGAACCGGGGGAACUGAAACAUCUAAGUACCCCGAGGAAAAGAAAUCAACCGAGAUUCCGAAAGUAGCGGCGAGCGAAAUUGGACUAGCCCUUAAGCUUUACACGCGUUAGACGAACGGUCUGGAAAGUCCGACGAUACAGGGUGAUAGUCCCGUAGUUGACGACGUGUGUUCAGUGAAAUCGAGUAGGGCGGGACACGUGAUAUCCUGUCUGAAUAUGGGGGGACCAUCCUCCAAGGCUAAAUACUACUGACUGACCGAUAGUGAACCAGUACCGUGAGGGAAAGGCGAAAAGAACCCCUGUGAGGGGAGUGAAAUAGAACCUGAAACCGUGUACGUACAAGCAGUAGGAGCAGGCUUUGUCCUGUGACUGCGUACCUUUUGUAUAAUGGGUCAGCGACUUAUAUUCAGUGGCAAGGUUAACCAUCUAGGGGAGCCGUAGGGAAACCGAGUCUUAACUGGGCGUUCAGUCUCUGGAUAUAGACCCGAAACCAGGUGAUCUAGCCAUGGGCAGGUUGAAGGUUGAGUAACAUCAACUGGAGGACCGAACCGACUAAUGUUGAAAAAUUAGCGGAUGACUUGUGGCUAGGGGUGAAAGGCCAAUCAAACCUGGAGAUAGCUGGUUCUCCCCGAAAGCUAUUUAGGUAGCGCCUCGGACGAAUACUACUGGGGGUAGAGCACUGUUAAGGCUAGGGGGUCAUCCCGACUUACCAACCCUUUGCAAACUCCGAAUACCAGUAAGUACUAUCCGGGAGACACACGGCGGGUGCUAACGUCCGUCGUGGAGAGGGAAACAACCCAGACCGCCAGCUAAGGUCCCAAAUUACUACUAAGUGGGAAACGAUGUGGGAAGGCUCAGACAGCCAGGAUGUUGGCUUAGAAGCAGCCAUCAUUUAAAGAAAGCGUAAUAGCUCACUGGUCGAGUCGGCCUGCGCGGAAGAUGUAACGGGGCUAAGUAGUAAACCGAAGCUGCGGCAAUGUGCUUUUGCACAUUGGGUAGGGGAGCGUUCUGUAAGCGGUUGAAGGUGUGUGGUAACGCAUGCUGGACGUAUCAGAAGUGCGAAUGCUGACAUGAGUAACGAUAAAGGGGGUGAAAAACCUCCUCGCCGGAAGACCAAGGGUUCCUGUCCAACGUUAAUCGGGGCAGGGUAAGUCGACCCCUAAGGCGAGGCCGAAAGGCGUAGUCGAUGGGAAACGGGUUAAUAUUCCCGUACUUCUUACAAUUGCGAUGGGGGGACGGAGAAGGCUAGGUGGGCCUGGCGACGGUUGUCCAGGUUCAAGUGCGUAGGCUGAAGAGUUAGGUAAAUCCGGCUCUUUUUAAGGCUGAGACACGACGUCGAGCACCUACGGGUGUGAAGUCAUUGAUGCCAUGCUUCCAGGAAAAGCCUCUAAGCUUCAGAUUGUAAGGAAUCGUACCCCAAACCGACACAGGUGGUCGGGUAGAGAAUACCAAGGCGCUUGAGAGAACUCGGGUGAAGGAACUAGGCAAAAUGGUACCGUAACUUCGGGAGAAGGUACGCUCUUGAUGGUGAAGUCCCUUGCGGAUGGAGCUGACGAGAGUCGCAGAUACCAGGUGGCUGCAACUGUUUAUUAAAAACACAGCACUGUGCAAAAUCGUAAGAUGACGUAUACGGUGUGACGCCUGCCCGGUGCCGGAAGGUUAAUUGAUGGGGUUAGACUUCGGUCGAAGCUCUUGAUCGAAGCCCCGGUAAACGGCGGCCGUAACUAUAACGGUCCUAAGGUAGCGAAAUUCCUUGUCGGGUAAGUUCCGACCUGCACGAAUGGCGUAAUGAUGGCCACGCUGUCUCCACCCGAGACUCAGUGAAAUUGAAAUCGCUGUGAAGAUGCAGUGUACCCGCGGCUAGACGGAAAGACCCCGUGAACCUUUACUACAGCUUGGCACUG
rnacentral:rRNA from 1 species